UCCCUGGUAGUAUAAUGGUCAGGACACGCGCCUGUCAGACGAUGACUGAAAGAUCUUCGCGCGAAUCCUGGGUUCAACUCCCAGCCAGGGAG